GGGGGUGUCAGUUUCGACACAAGAAAUGUGUUGUGCGUGGCACGCAGAGCUCUCGUGAACUCUUUAAACUUGCGAGAAAAUUUAAGUGCAGACUCUAUUGUCGCACGGGCAAAGUCAAUUGUUUCUCCGUAUUUUACGGCGAACGACUUUGUUUUCGCCUACGUUCGAGCGUAAGCUCGCAUAAGCGAACGUUCACUUUUCUGACGUCCGGUACAGGAUAGUGGUCGCUUUAUCUCUCGGACUGUAAUCCCGAUACUGCUCAUAUCGGGGCCAAACUUAGAGCUUUGAUUUUCGGAUGUUUUGUCUGAUUUUUAGUCCGAAGGUCGAGAACCAAAAUCUGUCUAAGCGUGCUAGAUUCGUCCAACACCCUCUUAUGGACGCGGGCUCAUUCCCGCCACCUCCACAG
rnacentral:tmRNA from 1 species